CGUUUUGGUCCACUGACGACCUUCUCAGAAACUUUGAUCGUUUGAUAUAUCAAUAAUAAUAAUUUCUUCUUUAAUAAAUCUCACAUUCACACCCGAUUUGGUGAAGCAUGGCGGCUGUUGACCUUUGCUAGGCCACACUAUUUACAAAGGAUCCAUUCGCUAGUGGCCGAAUGACCUGACGUUAAAAUAACUUUCCUCUCUUACAUUUGUAAACUCAAUUGUCGAAAUAUAACUUCCUUGGGAAAAAGCUAACACAACUGAUAGUUUUGCUUUCAAUUGUUUCCAAAAAAAAAAAAGAGAGAGAAAAUCUUUUAGCUUCGAAAUCACCGGAUACUAAAAUUGUAAAAUCAUCAAAACUUUUAAUGACAGAGUUACAUUGGCAUGCCUUGAAUUGUCGUUUUGGUUUUUUUUUAAUCAAAACUGUGUUAGAUAGUCUUCUCCUUCGCCACGGAACACACACGUUGUAGUGAAACAAUAUGAGCAAUCAUCACACUAUGAGUUACACUAUGCCAUCACAUUUCUCAAUUUGUUGUGGAUUGUAUAGAAGACCUAAUUAAGCUGGGGAAUUAGUUUCGAGGGAAGUCUUUGUCUUCCAUUAGCGAC